rnacentral:misc_RNA from 1 species
UCAAAAAUUGCAAAAUUCUAAAAGAAUGAAAGUGUUUUCAUUAUGAUAUUAAUUUUAUUUACAUUACUAGUAAUAUCGUCAUGUAUCCCAUACGACCGCAAGAAUGUUCGAUUUAAGACUAUUUAAAUCUUUUUUAGGAGAAGGGCUUUGUGUGAAGAUAUAGUAAAAUGUUCAAAUUUCAAAACUAAAUUGUUUGGAUUUUUUUUUACUUUCUAAUACUAGUAGUUUAAAGUUUUUAAAUAUCAUAUAUCUAAAAUAUAUUUGAGGUCAAAUUGAUGGUUAAUUAGUCGACACACCAGCCUCCGUAACUGUAAUAUCUACAACGAUUUUGAUAUAAUAUAUAUAUUUGCUCAUGUAUUAAUAUCAAUUGAUUUUUGUUGUGAGCAGAUUAGCGUAAAGUUAGUGAUCAUUUUUUCUUUAUUAUUUAAGUUAUGCAACUUGUGUUGAUUUUUAAAAAAUUAUAUAUAUCUUAUCCAAACUAUAAGAAAAAUAUCUUUGGUAAUAAUUAAUAAACAAAUCCAUGUAAUAAUGCGAUAUAUUUUAAGUGAUAAUUUAAAAAUAUCAUCCUGAUAUGUGAGAAUUAUCAGUUUUAACUAUAAUCUUGUGAGACAACAGAUUGCUUUGAAUACUUUAACCACAAAAUGUUGAAAAUGAAUAUUUUCUAUUUAUUUUGAUAAUUUUAAAUAAUCAAUUGUUGAUUGAUGUAUACAUAUAUGAAAUAUCUUUACGUUUUUAUUUAUCUCAAUUUUACGAACAGUAAAGGGACACGUCAAUAAAUCAUUUAAUUCUG